rnacentral:rRNA from 1 species
UACGUAGGUGGCAAGCGUUGUCCGGAUUUAUUGGGUUUAAAGGGUGCGUAGGCGGUUCUAUAAGUCAGUGGUGAAAUCCGGCAGCUCAACUGUCGAUGUGCCAUUGAUACUGCAGAACUUGAGUACAGACGAGGUAGGCGGAAUUGACGGUGUAGCGAUGAAAUGCUUAGAUAUCGUCAAGAACACCGAUAGCGAAGGCAGCUUACUAGACUGUAACUGACGCUGAUGCACGAAAGUGUGGGGAUCAAACAGG